rnacentral:rRNA from 1 species
CAAUACCGCGUGAGGGAAGAAGGCUUUUGGGUUGUAAACCUCUUUUGUCAGGGAAGAAGAAUUGACGGUACCUGAAGAAAAAGCAUCGGCUAACUCCGUGCCAGCAGCCGCGGUAAUACGGAGGAUGCAAGCGUUAUCCGGAAUCAUUGGGCGUAAAGGGUCCGCAGGUGGCGAAUAAAGUCUGCUGUUAAAGACCGGGGCUUAACUCCGGAAAGGCAGUGGAAACUGAUUAGCUAGAGUACGGUAGGGGUAGAGGGAAUUCCCAGUGUAGCGGUGAAAUGCGUAGAUAUUGGGAAGAACACCGGUGGCGAAAGCGCUCUACUAGGCCGAAACUGACACUGAGGGACGAAAGCUAGGGUAGCG